AUGUCAGAAGUGGGAUUUGAACCCACGCCCUCUUUCGAAGACCAGAACUUGAGUCUGGCGCCUUAGACCACUCGGCCAUCCUGUUAUAAAAAAGAGUUAUCACUACAAUAAUAAAAAGGAAUUAACAAAAAUUUGUUUGAUGGCAAGCAAGAAUGUGAGCGUAAUCCGAGAAAGAGAAGCUUUGGCUUUGGCACUCUGAAAAUAGUUGAGGAUCAAGAUCACAGUUCAAGAUAUAAAUUGUGUGAACAGCUGCAGGCUCUAAUUUCUCCAGCAAUACUACCAUUGUCUGUUGCACUUGCACUUUAAUUUGAAUUCACUAUCUUACAGAUCUUACAACAAUAUCUCUGUGCUUUCAAAGCUCAGAUUCCUGUGAGGGAUCCAGGAAGGUAUACAUAUAUAUGCGAUGGGCCACUCUGUUUAAAUAGUUAGUCUCUUCGUUGGAAAUUUUGGCACAUGGCGCUCUUUUGUAUUGUAGGGAAUCAGUUGGAGCACUAUAUUUCCAGUGUUAUUUGGAUGAUAAUAUGCUUUUAGGUCGUGCUGUUGGUGGAGGAGGAGGCGUAUUUGUGUUUACAAGAGCCCAAUAACUUUACUAAUGAGCAUUGAUAAGUAGUUUAUGACUUGAACUGCCUGUCUGCAAUAUAACAGUAACAUUCACUGAGCCGGCGUUUUUGAAUUGGCCAUAAGGAGAGGAAAAAUUAGAUUGGAGGCCUAUAGCCCACAAGGAAUCUUCUCAUUGAACAGGGAAAUAAUAUGUAAUUGUUGUGAUAUUAUUUGAACUUGCUACUUUUUGGGGGAUGGGGCGUUGUAAAUUUGUUUUGUUUCUAUUGAUUUCAUUUUCAUCAUUGUAUAUUAAUAUAGUUUGUGUUCAAUGUAACUUCUGAUAUCAGAUGUCAAGCUGAUAGUUCUUAAA